rnacentral:rRNA from 1 species
GACGAACGCUGGCGGCGUGCCUAAUACAUGCAAGUCGAACGGAGCACUGAAUUUCGGUUUAGUGUUUAGUGGCGAACGGGUGAGUAACGCGUGAGGAACCUGACCCACAGAGGGGGAUAACACCUGGAAACGGGUGCUAAUACCGCAUAAGACCACACUGUCGCAUGGCAGAGGGGUCAAAGGAGGAAUCCGCUGAGGGAGGGACUCGCGUCCCAUUAGAUAGUUGGUGAGGUAACGGCCCACCAAGUCAGCGAUGGGUAGCCGAGCUGAGAGGCUGAACGGCCACACUGGAACUGAGACACGGUCCAGACUCCUACGGGAGGCAGCAGUAGGGAAUAUUGGGCAAUGGGGGAAACCCUGACCCAGCAACACCGCGUGAGGGAAGAAGGUUUUCGGAUUGUAAACCUCUGUCCUAUGUGACGAAGGAAGUGACGGUAGCAUAGGAGGAAGCCCCGGCUAACUACGUGCCAGCCGCCGCCGUAAAAC